UGCGGAAGGAUCAUUACUGAAAUGUAAUAACUUCUAUUGAAAGGUUCCAGAGUAGGCGCUACAACGCCGAAAUGACCUUCUCACCCUUGUGUACUCACUAUGUUGCUUUGGCGGGUCGACCUGGUUCCGACCCAGGCGGCCGGCGCCCCCAGCCUUAACUGGCCAGGACGCCCGGCUAAGUGCCCGCCAGUAUACAAAACUCAAGAAUUCAUUUUGUGAAGUCCUGAUAUAUCAUUUAAUUGAUUAAAACUUUCAACAACGGAUCUCUUGGUUCUGGCAUCGAUGAAGAACGCAGCGAAAUGCGAUAAGUAAUGUGAAUUGCAGAAUUCAGUGAAUCAUCGAAUCUUUGAACGCACAUUGCGCCCUCUGGUAUUCCGGAGGGCAUGCCUGUUCGAGCGUCAUUUCAACCCUCAAGCUCUGCUUGGUAUUGGGCAACGUCCGCUGCCGGACGUGCCUUGAAGACCUCGGCGACGGCGUCCUAGCCUCGAGCGUAGUAGUAAAAUAUCUCGCUUUGGAGUGCUGGGCGACGGCCGCCGGACAAUCGACCUUCGGUCUAUUUUUCCAAGGUUGACCUCGGAUCAGGUAGGGAUACCCGCUGAACUUAAGCAUAUCAAUAAGCGGAGGAAAAGAAACCAACAGGGAUUGCCUUAGUA
rnacentral:rRNA from 1 species